UCUAAGUUUCAUAAUUCAUCUUUUCUGGCAUUUAUCAUUUCGUAAUUGAGUCAUGUCAUGCGAAAGUCUGUAAUGUAUAUUUUUCCAGCUUUUAGUUUUCUUGUGCUUAUAAUAAUUUUCAAGAUUUGACACCGCCAUCAAAGUGUAAAACGAGUAAUAACGCUACAUUCAUCAUUAAAUUCAACUCUCAAAUGUAUUAUCAACUCAAAAAAACUCAAGACUGGAAGAAUGGACAUGAGCGGCCUCUGCAUGAAACGAUUGAAAUAUGUAUAACUCAUGAUAAGCCAAGGAUUAAAACCAUCACUGGUCAAGAGGACCACACACCUUGAGAUCGAAAAAAGUAAUUCUAUUAUUACCAACCGCUGCCUCACCAAAAGUUUUUUUUCUCUCUUUCUACAAAGAACAUACGUGUCUCUUAUGCCAUUCACUGUCAUCUGCCUAUUUCUAGUUGGAUGAAGUUUUCUGUAUUCACAAGUCCACUGGACAAUAAACUGCUUUACCGUGUACUGGCAAAAAAUUGAAAACUCACUUAGUUGUCAGGCUCGUCACAGGAAGAGCCGCCAUCCCGUUUAAUCUACUGCAUCAGUGAAUGAAAAAAAAAGUCCAAGGUAACAACGCAGGAAGAGCCGCCAUCCCGUUUAAUCUACUGCAUCUGUGAUUGAAAAAAAAACGUCCAAGGUAACAAAUCAGGGAAUUUCGUACAGUUCAGAACAUAAGAGUGAUUUUGAAAUCACGAAUUUGAAAAACAGUAAACUUCAAUCAAUGAUGAUAUUUCAUUGUAAACAUAACUAUAUCAUAUCAUCAUGCUUUUCUAUUCAAUGGUACAGGCUUGUGAUAACAUAACGAGCACCUAAGGAGUAGAGUUUGUUUCAAUUUGAACCUCAGCAUUGAGUUUUCGACAGUAAAAGAUUCUAUACCGAAAAUUCUAUUUUGGAGAAAAUCCCUAAUUGAGGAUUGAACACCAUGUACUUCCUCCAUUAGUUAAACUGCCCCUAAACUUUAAUUCCUUUGUGACUUGCUGAACCUUUUAAAAGGGGUGUGGAAAAUAGCAGAUGGCUGCCCUGUGCAGGUUUCUAACAUAUUUUUUUUCUUUGUUUUUUUUUAUUUUGUGUUUUGUUUGAAAACAUGCACAAGUUCUUUUAUUGGCAAGAGACUUUCUGCUGCUGAGAUGAUAUGUUCCUUAUUAUUUAAGUUUUUUUUUUCAACAUGAAUGGUAAUUGAGAGGGGUGGGUUUGUCACUAAAAACAUGUCGCCUUUCUCAUUUUAAACAGAAAAAUUAGAGUACUGAAGUCUUUGUCCAUUAGUUACCAACGCAUGGAUGAUGCAGGGGUAGAGAUGACAACUAUACAGUGGAUCAGGGUUAUAUGUUCCCCGAUAAACAUGAAAACUUUGCAAAAUUCGCAUUCCAUUCUCUCUCUAUGAUCUUUAGUUCAUUUCUAUUGUACAGAAACAUGUAUAAGCUACAUUCAUUUUAUUGGAUACACCAUCUUACAAGGAUUCAGAAAUCUUGUACUCCUGAAAAUGGGCUUAAUGGCACUAAUGCCUGUUUACCAAAAAUAUCCUUAAUAAAUUUGUUGUCACUUCUGAUAUCCAA